rnacentral:rRNA from 1 species
AGCUCUAAUAGCGUAUAUUAAUGUUGUUGCGGUUAAAAAGCUCGUGGUUGAAAGUGAAGGGUAAAACUGGAUCUGGGGAAACCCAUUUGCAGUUAUUAGCGCGUUUUAAGGUAUUCGGUUUACUUGACUUAAUUGUCAAAUAAGCUUAACGGAUGCCUUGUAGCUACUCUGAUAAAAUCAGAGUGCUUAAAACAAGCAUAUUGCUUGUAUAUUUGUGCAUAGUAUAGCAAAAUAUGACCUAAGCUAAUAAAGAUGGUGAUUAGCCGUGGUAAUGAUUAAAAGGGAUUGUCGGAGGCAUUUGCCAGGGAUGUUUUCA